UACGUAGGGGGCAAGCGUUGUCCGGAAUUAUUGGGCGUAAAGGGCGCGUAGGCGGUCCGGUAAGUCUCCAGUGAAAUCUAUGGGCUCAACCCAUAGCCUGCUGGGGAAACUGCCGGGCUUGAGUGUGGGAGAGGGAAGUGGAACUCCGGGAGUAGCGGUGAAAUGCGUAGAGACCCGGAGGAACACCAGUGGCGAAGGCGGCUUCCUGGUCUGCGACUGACGCUGUGGCGCGAAAGCUAGGGGAGCAAACGGG
rnacentral:rRNA from 1 species